rnacentral:misc_RNA from 1 species
ACCCUUGUGGAGAAGGACGCCGAAGGUGGGGCUGAUGACUGGGGUGAAGUCGUAACAAGGUAGCCGUACCGGAAGGUGCGGCUGGAUCACCUCCUAACAGGGAGACAAUAAAUUGAUUGUGAUGUCUAAGUUAUUUAUUCUUAGGCCGCAAUCCUGUCACCUUAAGGUCGAUCGGUACCUCAGAUUUUUGAAUUAGUUUCAUAAUUAAUUCUUUGGUUUCAGUUCCUAAACUUGUCUAGGUCACACCCAACAAAGGUUUCUCCUGGGCCAUUAGCUCAGGUGGUUAGAGCGCACCCCUGAUAAGGGUGAGGUCCCUGGUUCAAGUCCAGGAUGGCCCAUUCGUUGUUGGGGGUAUAGCUCAGUUGGUAGAGCGCCUGCUUUGCAAGCAGGAUGUCAGCGGUUCGAGUCCGCUUACCUCCACUGAAAACUAUCCUGAUAACUAAAUUCGGAGAAAAAUUUGUGGAAGUGGCUUAGAAUUUUCUGUCUGAAAAGAACCUAGCUUCUUGUCAUCUUUUUAUAGUUGAUAAAAUGCUGGGCUCGCAUGGAUUAAUUCCAUGAGAAUUCAGUAGAACCUUGAAAACUGCAUAGAUUAGAAAGAAUAAAGCAUCUCAUGGAUGCAUAAUUCUGGUUUUUAUAAUUUAGCAUCAAACUAAAUUACUUAAUUCUAGAAUUCAUGUUUAAUUCUUGAGAAAAAGCCGAGCACAAAUUAAUUUUGUGUUUGUAUUUAAGGUCAAGCUACAAAGGGCUC